GACGAACGCUGGCGGCGUGCCUAACACAUGCAAGUCGAGCGGAGUCGAUCGACGGAAGCCUUCGGGCGGAAGAUGGUUGACUUAGCGGCGGAUGGGUGAGUAACGCGUGGGCAACCUGCCUCGAAGACCGGGAUAACAGCCCGAAAGGGCUGCUAAUACCGGAUGUGGUCAAAGAUCCGCAUGGAUUUUUGAUUAAAGGGGAAACCCGUUUCGAGAUGGGCCCGCGUCCUAUCAGCUAGUUGGUGAGGUAAAAGCUCACCAAGGCGACGACGGGUAGCCGGCCUGAGAGGGUGACCGGCCACACUGGAACUGAGACACGGUCCAGACUCCUACGGGGGGCAGCAGUGGGGAAUCUUCCACAAUGGGCGAAAGCCUGAUGGGGCGACGCCGCGUGAGCGAAGAAGGCCUUCGGUUGUAAAGCUCUGUCUGGAGGGACGAAGGAAGUGACGGUACCUCCGGAGGAAGCCACGGCUAACUACGUG
rnacentral:rRNA from 1 species